GACAGAGGGUGCAAACGUUGUUCGGAAUUACUGGGCGUAAAGCGCGUGUAGGCGGCAGCGCAAGUCGGAUGUGAAAGCCCAUGGCUCAACCAUGGAAGUGCACCCGAAACUGCGUUGCUAGAGUCUCGGAGAGGAAGGUGGAAUGCUUGGUGUAGAGGUGAAAUUCGUAGAUAUCAAGCGGAACACCGGUGGCGAAGGCGGCCUUCUGGACGAGUACUGACGCUGAGACGCGAAAGCGUGGGUAGCAAACAGG
rnacentral:rRNA from 1 species